rnacentral:misc_RNA from 1 species
UGUCAAGUUUAUCCAAGACUUAUUGAAGAACGCUGAAUCCAACGCUGAGCAAGGGUUUGGACAUUGACAGUUUGAUCAUCUCCCACAUCCAAGUUAAC